rnacentral:lncRNA from 1 species
GGGGUAGAGGUGGCUGGGGAUGAAGCUGUGUGACCCCCAACAGAGGCUGCACUGACGGGCCUGCACAGUGGACCCCUCCUGAUGGUAAUUUAGGCCUGGUUUUAAAAUGCCUCGCACCGAGAAAUUAAAGAGUUUCCUUCCCUCACCUAUCAAUUCUCACUCGAAUAUGACCAAUCCAUCAAGUCUGAAAAUCUGUUAUUUAAGGAAUGUGACCAGAUCUCUGGGACAGAGCAGGAGGGCUCAGAAAAUAGACCAGGUUUGGCCUUUGGCGGCCUGCCUCCUUGGAAAUGGCUAAGGAAGGAGACGAACGUUCCCUUGACUCCUAAUGAGCUCAGUGAUUACAUACCAGAAACAUGAAUUAUCUCUCGUCUCAAGUUCAGGAAUAUUCUCCCUGGCCCAAACCAAGGCUGUGGGAGAGCUGGGGAGGACUGGCCUUUCCUCAUACCUGGUGGAUAACGCCGGUGCCCUUCAGCUUUGAACUUGGAUUAUUUGAGAGACAUUCCUCAGACCCAACUUCCACCUAAGCACUGAGGUGUCCAACCCAAAUUUGCCAGACUCCUCUGUCAAGAUGAGACCAUCCUGACCUCGGGAGGCCCAAGAGCCCAGCUCCAGCCCAAAUGAAGGAGCUGUGUUUGGGAAGGGGCGUGACAGGGGCAAACGAGUGGCUCUGUACCAGAUAGGCCUUUUUCUUCCCCUCAACCAUGUGGCACUGGAGAGACUUCACUUCCCACAGCUGUCUUUGAGGACAAGGCCUUAUAUCAUAAGAUAGCACCAAAGACCUCUGCCAAGAUGAGGCAGGGUCACACAUGCCAACCUCCCUCCAGAGAAAAAUCUCCCCACCCCAUCUAAUGACACAUACGAUCCCCCCAGGCACCUCUGACACCCACAGGAACAGCCUCAUUACAGGCUACUUGCCUGGGAGCCAAAAGCCCCAAGUCCCAGCUCCUGCCUGUGCCAAGACUUGACCUUACUUAUUACAUAGAUCAUCAGUAUCCAUCUCUUAGGCCAUGAGUGGCUCAGGUGAGAGAGGAUAAAACACUCCACAAACAGAAGGCUUUGUGAUUACCAACAAACACUGACGCAUUUCCAAGAGCCAGGCUUUCAGUUUGUAGAAAACAGUGGAGUCUGUCCCUGGCCCACUCUGUUAUAGACUCUUGCUUAAAAUGCCUCUUGAUGCUGAACCUUCGUGCCUCCUACUGGACUUCAGGCUGACCAUCCAGGGAGAUUGAAGGAAGUCUGCAUCCUUUCCACAGAAUAGAACUGAAGAUGGAACUCAGGAGUGCUCUACCAUGGAGCUACACCUCCAGCACAUCUGACUUUCUAUUUAAAGACAGGUCUCACCAAAUUGCCUAGGUUGAUCUCAAACUUGCAAUCCUCCUGCCUUAGCCUCCUGAGUCACUGAGACUACAAGAGUGCAUCAGCAUGCCUGGCUCAGAAAAGUUCUUUAUGUGGCAAGAGGGCAUGGAAUGAUGUGCCUCAAAUUUUCUCUAAUACCUUGCAGAUUUUUCCACCAUGGCUGCCGGGGAUUCUGCCCCCUCACCAAUCCUGCUGCCCUCUUUUGGAUGACUGGCGCCUUAUUUGCGCCUCAUACACCAAGGCCCCAGAACAGAACUGUACACCAGGAGGGCUCAGCUCCUACCACCAGAUCUGCACAAGUGCUCAUGAUGCGGUUUAAGAUUUAGCACUUUUGCUGACUCCAGUGAACCAGGGAUCAUUCCAACUCUCCACUCCCAGACCUUCAGGAUGAAGCAGUGUAGCAGGGCAACACCUUGCUAAUUAUGUAACAGAACUGGCACAUCCCGCUUGGUUAAAUAUACUCUGAAAAUGAACUUUACCUGUUUCUUUUAAAUUUUCAAUGCAAUACUAGAAAAUGGUAACACGUGCCACUUGUGUUAUGUUCCAUGGGACGGCGACUGCUCUAGGGCUUUCUCCAAGAGAACAGUAACCAGCACUUCUGUUUCAGUACAGCUAGUCUUUCCUGAACUAUCCUAUCCCCCAAUUCACAUUUCUCCAUUUGAGCCGUGGCAAUAUUCUGGGGGGUUUUGCCAAAUGCAUUCAAUCCAUAUAUUCCUUAUAUUUCUGUCAUGGCAGCCUUUUUGAAAAGAGAUGGAGAUUGGAGGAGACAGAAUGAGAGAAUAAGACACUUGCCCAAUUGCUGAGCCCAGCAGGCACCCACUGAUGGCUUCGGCAGGUCACCAUUUCCCUUUUGAGACACCCACUCCAAGGUCAGUUUCUGUAUUUGAUUUGGAUUCUACAAAGUCAGACCUUUAAUGUUUGCUCAACAAAUGGCCAAGUGAACAAUCUGCUUGUGGUGGCAGAACUGUCAUGCAGGAUCACUACUUAAAUGACCCCUCAC